rnacentral:rRNA from 14 species
GCACUCUGCAAAGACGAAAGUCGACGUAUAGGGUGUGACGCCUGCCCGGUGCUGGAAGAUUAAAUGAUGGGGUGCAAGCUCUUGAUUGAAGUCCCAGUAAACGGCGGCCGUAACAAUAACGGUCCUAAGGUAGCGAAAUUCCUUGUCAGGUAAGUUCUGACCCGCACGAAAGGUGUAACGAUCUGGGCACUGUCUCGGAGAGAGGCUCGGUGAAAUAGACAUGUCCGUGAAGAUGCGGACUACCUACACCUGGACAGAAAGACCCUAUGAAGCUUUACUGUAACCUGGAAUUGAAUUUGGGCUUUUCUUGCGCAGUCUAGGUGGGAGGCGUUGAUAGUCCCCUUCCGGGGGGGCUUGAGCCAUCAGUGAGAGACCACUCUGGAGAAGCUAGAAUUCUAAUGGCGAUCCUUGAAUCAGGACGCUUGACAGUUUCAGGCGGGCAGUUUGACUGGGGCGGUCGUCUCCUAAAAGGUAACGGAGAUGUGCAAAGGUUCCCUCAGGCUGGACGGAAAUCAGCCGAAGAGUGUAAAGGCAGAAGGGAGCUUGACUGCAAGACCUACAAGUCGAGCAGGGGCGAAAGCCGGCCUUAGUGAUCCUACGGUACCGAGUGGAA